GAUGAACGCUGGCGGCGUGCCUAAUACAUGCAAGUCGAGCGAACAGACGAGGAGCUUGCUCCUCUGACGUUAGCGGCGGACGGGUGAGUAACACGUGGAUAACCUACCUAUAAGACUGGGAUAACUUCGGGAAACCGGAGCUAAUACCGGAUAAUAUAUUGAACCGCAUGGUUCAAUAGUGAAAGGCGGUUUUGCUGUCACUUAUAGAUGGAUCCGCGCCGCAUUAGCUAGUUGGUAAGGUAACGGCUUACCAAGGCAACGAUGCGUAGCCGACCUGAGAGGGUGAUCGGCCACACUGGAACUGAGACACGGUCCAGACUCCUACGGGAGGCAGCAGUAGGGAAUCUUCCGCAAUGGGCGAAAGCCUGACGGAGCAACGCCGCGUGAGUGAUGAAGGUCUUCGGAUCGUAAAACUCUGUUAUUAGGGAAGAACAAAUGUGUAAGUAACUAUGCAGGUCUUGACGGUACCUAAUCAGAAAGCCACGGCUAACUACGUG
rnacentral:rRNA from 1 species